AAAUUUAACACCAAUAUAGAUAAUUUAGUAGAGACCACCUGAAUCAAUUGAAAGUACCAGGAGGGACUAGGCAGCUGAGGGCUAAUUAGGGCGCACAAAUUCCAGGGGUAGGUUCCUGCAUUGGCUGAUCGCGGGGAUCCGUGGUCGUGCCAUCUAGGCCAUUGUAGGGCCCUAGG